rnacentral:misc_RNA from 1 species
AAAAAGCUUCAAUUUUUGCUUCUUCUUUUGAUUGUUUGUUCUUUAAUCCUACCAUGGAAGCCACUGCUUCUUUCACUUCAACUAUGGCUUCUCACCAUUUCUUUCCACUUUCUAAAGCCACCCUUUCAUCUUCUAAACUUAAUCCCACUUGUAAUUCUUCUUCUUCUUGGAUUGGUUCUACUCAUUCUCUUUCAUUUUCUUCAAGAAAUUCAUUUACUAGGGAUACAUGGAGGGUGAUCAAUUCCAAGAAUGUGGUAAGAAGGGAAAUGAGUGGAGUUAUUAGAGCUGAGAUGUUUGGACAGCUCACUAGCGGACUUGAAAAUGCUUGGAACAAGCUCAAAGGAGAAGAGGUUUUGACCAAGGAAAACAUCGUGGAACCUAUGAGGGACAUCAGGAGGGCUCUUUUAGAAGCUGAUGUCAGUCUCCCAGUUGUCAGAAGGUUUGUUCAGUCUGUUAGUGAAGAAGCCGUUGGCACUGGUUUGAUUCGAGGUGUAAAACCAGAUCAGCAACUAGUUAAAACUGUACGUGACGAGCUUGUGAAACUGAUGGGUGGAGAGGUUUCUGAACUGGUUUUUGCUAAAUCUAAGCCCACCGUAAUACUAUUGGCCGGUCUACAAGGUGUUGGGAAGACAACUGUUAGUGCAAAGUUAGCUUUAUAUCUAAAGAAGCAGGGUAAGAGUUGCAUGCUGAUUGCUGGAGACGUGUACAGACCUGCUGCUAUUGACCAACUUGUUAUUUUGGGUAAACAGGUUGAUGUACCUGUUUAUGCAGCAGGAACAGAUGUAAAACCUGCAGAAAUAGCCCGACAAGGAUUACAAGAGGCCAAAAAGAAGAAUGUAGAUGUAGUCAUAAUGGAUACAGCUGGAAGACUUCAGAUAGAUAAAACUAUGAUGGAUGAAUUAAAAG